rnacentral:rRNA from 1 species
AUUGAACGCCGGCGGCAUGCCUUACACAUGCAAGUCGAACGGCAGCACGGGGGCAACCCUGGUGGCGAGUGGCGAACGGGUGAGUAAUACAUCGGAACGUGCCCAGUCGUGGGGGAUAACGUAGCGAAAGUUACGCUAAUACCGCAUACGAUCUCUGGAUGAAAGCGGGGGACCGCAAGGCCUCGCGCGAUUGGAGCGGCCGAUGGCAGAUUAGGUAGUUGGUGGGGUAGAAGCUUACCAAGCCUCCGAUCUGUAGCUGGUCUGAGAGGACGCUCAGCCACACUGGGACUGAGACACGGCCCAGACUCCUACGGGAGGCAGCAGUGGGGAAUUUUGGACAAUGGGCGAAAGCCUGAUCCAGCAAUGCCGCGUGCAGGACGAAGGCCUUCGGGUUGUAAACUGCUUUUGUACGGAGCGAAACGGCUUCCACUAAUACUGGGGGCUAAUGACGGUACCGUAAGAAUAAGCACCGGCUAACUACGUGCCAGCCGCCGCCGUAA